UCUAGGUAAAUGGAUCUCGUCACAGGCAGCUCAUUAGAACCACCUGGGAGCUUUUGAAAAAUACUGAUGUGGAGGUCCCACCCCAGGUAUUAACAAGAGUCUACGUGGCAGAGACUUGGGCAUCUUGUCGUUUUGAAGUUCCUGAGGUGAUUCUGCCCUGCAGCCAGGAUGGAAAACCAGUGACCUCUCUAGAUCCUCGCAACUCAAGGUGCAUUCGAUAGAUGGCCAGUGUUGGUGUCACCUGGGAGGACGUUGGACGUGAAAAAAUCUCCAGGACUAGAAUCAGUGCUUCUCAAAAUGUAGCAUGCUUAUUAUGAAUUACCUGGAGGAUUUGGUGAAGCUGCAGAAGGGUGGAGCUUGCAAUCCCACCUUUCCUAAAAACUCCUGAGGACUCUUUCUAUGCUGCUAACCCAUGAACUAUACUUUAAAUAGCAAGACUGAGGAUAAUUUCUGAACUUCCUAGAAAAGGGGAACUGUAGCUUAUAACAGUGCUGUUAAAAUUGGAAUUUUCCAACUGAAGAGUGCAAUAACAUUUGGAUUCCCCUCUGCCUUCGAGGACAUUUGAGUUUUUAUUUUUUCCUGUUUGAACUUGAUACAUACUUCCUUUCCAGAUUUGCUUCUUUCUAUUCUUUCCAUUUUUUCCCCCUGCCUCAUGUUUGAGAGGGUGAUUUUUUUCCUGAUUCCUAAGCUGGUGGGAAUGGAUCGAUCUUGUCACAGUCAAAAUGGCAUAUGGGACAUGAGAACUCUGUCCAAAGACACAUGGUGAUUAAGAAAUGACUUCUUAGUGUCGCUGAAGCAAUAAUAUCUGGAUCAGAAUUUUAAGGACAGGAGAACAGGUGGGAUUGUGUUACAUGAAGGCAUAAGCUGGAGCCAUUCCGUGCACGCACUAUGCUGCAUCAGGCCUUGGAGGUGCCCAGGAGGGCCUCCUCCAGCUGGGAUCAGUCUUGUCUGGUUACCCCAGAGUGCUGGGCAAAUUUCAGUUCCUUUGUGUGCUGCGACGUGACAAAGGCAGGCAGGUCCUGCCCAAACGGGUUUACGUGAAAAGCUGGAAGUCCAGGAGCUCCCGGCUGUAUUGUCCAAGUCUUCCCAACAGACUUAAAGGCAUGGUGUAUGUAUCUGUGUUUGAAUGCUGAGGACAGCGUGUUGUUCUAGAAGCAGUGCCAAGACAGUGCGUCAAGGAGCCCUCAAACGGCGAGAGCUUACAGGCCAGACGCCCGUGUUCUCCAAAGCUAGAUACACGGUUAGGUCCUUUGGUAUCAGGAGAAAUGAAAAGAUUGUGUCCGCUGCACAGUCCGUGGGGCCAAGGCAGAAGAAAUCCUGGAAAAAGGUCUAAAGGUGCGAGAGUAUGACUUAAGAAAAAAUAACUUCUCUGAUACUGGAAACUUUGGCUUUGGGAUCCAGGAGCACAUCGAUCUGGGGAUCAAAUAUGACCCUAGCAUUGGUAUCUACGGCCUGGACUUCUACGUGGUGCUGGGGAGGCCAGGUUUCAGCAUCGCAGACAAGAAGCGCAGGACAGGCUGCACUGGGGCCAAACACAGAAUCAGCAAAGAGGAGGCCAUGUGCUGGUUCCAGCAGAAGUAUGAUGGGAUCAUCCUUCCUGGCAAAUAAAUUCCCGUUUCUAUCCAAAAGGCCAAUAAAAACUUUUCAGUGAAAUGUAAAUAAUAAAAAAACAACAACAA